GACGAACGCUGGCGGCGUGCUUAACACAUGCAAGUCGAACGAUGAAGCCGGAGCUUGCUCUGGUGAAUUAGUGGCGAACGGGUGAGUAACACGUGAGUAACCUGCCCUUGACUCUGGGAUAACUGCUAGAAAUGGUAGCUAAUACCGGAUACGACCCUCGGCGGCAUCGCCAGGGGGUGGAAAGAAUUUCGGUCAAGGAUGGACUCGCGGCCUAUCAGCUAGUUGGUGAGGUAACGGCUCAACAAGGCGACGACGGGUGGCCGGCCUGAGAGGGUGACCGGCCACACUGGGACUGAGACACGGCCCAGACUCCUACGGGAGGCAGCAGUGGGGAAUAUUGCACAAUGGGCGCAAGCCUGAUGCAGCAACGCCGCGUGAGGGAUGACGGCCUUCGGGUUGUAAACCUCUUUUAGUAGGGAAGAAGCGAAAGUGACGGUACCUGCAGAAAAAGCACCGGCUAACUACGUGCCAGCAGCCGCCGUAA
rnacentral:rRNA from 1 species